AUUGAACGCUGGCGGCAGGCCUAACACAUGCAAGUCGAGCGAGCGGCGGACGGGUGAGUAAUGUCUGGGAAACUGCCUGAUGGAGGGGGAUAACUACAGGAAACGGUAGCUAAUACCGCAUACCAUCAGAUGUGCCCAGGUGGGAUUAGCUAGUGGGUGGGGUAACGGCUCACCUAGGCGACGAACCCGAGCUGGUCUGAGAGGAUGACCAGCCACACUGGAACGGAGACACGGUCCAGACUCCUACGGGAGGCAGCAGUGGUGAAUAUUGCACAAUGGGCGAAAGCCUGAUGCAGCCAUGCCGCGUGUGUGAAGAAGGCCUUCGGGUUGUAAAGCACUUUCAGCGGGGAGGCGUUACCCGCAGAAGAAGCACCGGCUAACUCCGUGCCAGCAGCCGCGGUAAUUC
rnacentral:rRNA from 1 species